GUACCAAAAGUUAAUUUGGGGGAAAGGUUUUUUAAUAACCUUUACCAAUUUAGCCUAUUUGGGAGAAUAAAUUGACCACAUACUCCACAAUGGGCUAUGCCAUUUAACAUAGUUCAUUACUAAAUUUGUGGCCUACAUU